GAGGAGAGAUUGAAGACUUUUUUGGGUCAGCUGCAGACAGAAUUUGGAAUCCUCGAUAGAAUUGUCUACAAAAAUAAGAAUUAGCAUCGAAGGUGCUCUUAUUUUCAAUACCUGCUUAAGGUUAGAAGGGAUUUGAGGCUUCUGCAAUCAGCAAAGUUGGAGGAAAUCUUGAAUUCCUGCUUUCUGUCUGAAGCGGAGAAGGUGUGAUGGUGGCAAAUAUAACUUUUUGGAAAGGCUUCUUGGAGUUGUACGUUUACUAUCAAAGUAAUAUUCAUCUUCAUUCCAAUGGGAGCUCACUGCUCUAAAUUAGGCUUUUGCUGGUAGCCUUCUAACCUCAGAUCCAACGUCCCUUAUUCCUCUGAUCUUGAUAAAUGUGGAGAAAAUCAGAGGAUGAAACUGCCAGCAUUUAAAGAAUGCAGUUUAGAUGAGCUGAAGGUGGCACCUUCAAGAUUCUCAGUUGAAAACAUUGUAUCAGAACAUGGAGAUAAAGCUCGCAAUGUUGUCUACAAAGGGCAGCUUGAAGAUGAUGCCUCUUGGAUUGCUGUCAAACAUUUCAAUAAGUUUGCUUGGCCAGAUUCUCGGCAAUUCCUGGUUGUUAUUACUUAUUUUAAGCAAGUCCCCAGCUAUAGUCUUCACAAAUGUGAUAUUAUCUUAUUUAUGUACGCCAUAGUACUUAGUUAACCAUGAGUAUGGUGGAUGUUAUUCAGAUUUAAGAUUUGUUGUAUGCAAUUUGUAGGUUGAUAAGUGAGGAAACUUAUUGCAGGCUGAUGUGAUUUGAGACAUUGAUUGUACGGUUGUUAUGCCAUAUGAAUUGAAACAUUGAUUAUACGGCUGUUGUACCUUUGUUUCC